rnacentral:snRNA from 1 species
GUGUUCACUUCGGCAGCACAUAUACUACAGUUGGAACAAUACAGGUAUUAGCAUGGCCCCUGUGCAAGAAUGACAUGCAAAUCUGUGAAGUUUUCCAUAUUAAA